UCUCUACUAAAUUUCACUAUGA
rnacentral:miRNA from 1 species